AAAUAAUAAAAAUAACAAAAAUAACGGAAAUAACGGAAAUAACCUCCAGAGAGACAGAAACAUACUACAGAAACUUAGAUGACAGGCCAAGAAGAACAACGGAAAUAACAGAAAAAAAACGGAAAAAAAAAAAAAAAAAAGAAAAAAUGGAAAACAACAAGAACAACAAAAACAAAAUGGAAAUAAUAACAAAAAUGGUAACGGAAAUAACAACCAGAGAGACAGAAACAUUUUGUAGAAUCUUAGAUGACAGGCCAAAAAGAGCAAUGGAAAUAAAGGAAAUAACGGAAAUUACGGAAAUAACAGAAACAACCAGCCGAGAGACAUAAACAUACUGCAGAAACUUAGAUGACAGGCCAAGAAGAACAACAGAAAUAACAGAAAUAAUGGAAAUAACAGAAAUAAACUCCCAAGAGACAGAAACAUACAGCAGAAACUUAGAUGACAGGCCAAGAAGAACAACGGAAAUAACAAAAAUAAUUAUGGAAAUAACUGAAUUAAUAACAGAAAUUACAGAAAUAAUAACGGAAACAAACUCCAGAGAAACAGAAACAUACAUCUGAAAUGUAGAUGACAGGCCAAGAAGAGCAACGGAAAUAACAAAGAUAAUUACAGAAAUAACUGAAAUAAUAACGGAAAUAACGGAAAUAAUAACGGAAACAAACUCCAGAGAAACAGAAACAUACAUCUGAAACUUAGAUGACAGGCCAAGAAGAACAACAGAAAAAACAGAAAUAGCAGAAAUAACGGAAAUAACGGAAAUAAUAUCCAGAGAGACAGAAACAUACUUCAGUAACUUAGAUGACAGGCCAAGAAGAACAACGGAAAUAACAGAAAAAACAGAAAUAACGGAAAUAAUAACGGAAAUAACGGAAAAAACCUCCACAGAGACAGAAACGUACGGCAGAAAAUUAGGUGUCAGGUCAAGAACAACAACGGAAAUAACGGAAAUGACAGAAAUAAUAACGGAAAGAAUGGAAAGAACCUCCAGAGAGACAGAAACAUAUGGCAGAAAGUUACGUGACAGGUCAAGAACAAAAUGGAAAUAACAGAAAAAAACGAAAUAACGGAAAUAAUAAUGGAAAUAACGGAAAUAACGAAAAUACAAACGGAAAUAACGGAAAUAAUAUCGGAAAUAACGGAAAGAACCUUCAGAGAGACAGAAACAUACGGCAGAAAACUAGGCGACAGGUCAAGAACAACAAUGGAAAUAACGGAAAUAACGGAAAUAACGCAAAUAAUAACAGAAAUAACGGAAAUAACCUCCACAGAGACAAAAACAUACGGCAGAAAAUUAGGUGACUGGUCAAGAACAACAACGGAAAGAACGGAAAGAACGGAAAGAACAGUAAUAAAUUCCACAGUGACAGAAACAUAUGGCAGAAAAUUCGAUGACAAGUCAAGAAGAACAACAGAAAUAACGGAAAUAAUGGAACAAACCUGCAGAGCGACAGAAACAUACAGCAGAAAAUUAGGUGACAGGUCAAGAACAACAACGGAAAGAACAAAAAGAACGGAAAAAAAGAAAAGAACCUUUACAGAGACACAAAUAUCGGAAAAAACAAAAAUAACGGAAAUAAUGGAAAUAACGGAAAUAAACUACACAGAGACAGAAACAUAUGGCAGAAAAUGUCGUGACAGGUCAAGAACAACAAUGGAAAUAACGGAAAU
ensembl:lncRNA